CUUUUAAAGGAAACAAGUGCUCUACUGGCCUUAGGAGUCA
rnacentral:tRNA from 1 species